AUUUACAUUUGAGUGAGUGGCGAACUGGUGAGUAACACGUGGGAACCUGCCGAAGCGGGGAUACACCUGGAAACAGAUGCUAAUACCGCAUAACAACUUGGACCGCAUGGUCCGAGUUUGAAAGAUGGCUUCGGCUAUCACUUUUGGAUGGUCCCGCGGCGUAUUAGCUAGAUGGUGAGGUAACGGCUCACCAUGGCAAUGAUACGUAGCCGACCUGAGAGGGUAAUCGGCCACAUUGGGACUGAGACACGGCCCAGACUCC
rnacentral:rRNA from 1 species